rnacentral:rRNA from 1 species
UUUAGCAACCAAACCACCUGCAAGUCAGACUAGGUGAUCCCCUUGAAGCUACGCAGGUUUGGGCCUGGCCAGUACUUGAACGAGAGACCAACUAGGAAAGCUGGGUUGCUGCUGGAA